rnacentral:tRNA from 1 species
GAAGGUAUAGCUCAAGUGGUAGAGCACAUACUUAGCAUUCAUGAGGUCCUGGGUUCAAUCCCCGGUACCUCUU